AGAGUUUGAUUCUGGCUCAGGAUGAACGCUGGCGGCGUGCCUCAUACAUGCAAGUCGGACGGAUUUAAUAGUAUAGCAAUAUAUUGUUAGAUUAGUGGCGAACGGGUGAGUAACACGUAGCUAACCUACCCUAAAGUCUGGGAUAACAUACCGAAAGGGAUGCUAAUACCGGAUAAGACAAGAUGUCGCAUGGCAUCAGGUUAAAAGAUGGCCUCUGUUUACAAGCCGCGCUUUUGGAUGGGGCUGCGGUCCAUUAGGUAGUUGGAGUGGUAAUGGCACCCCAAGCCUACGAUGGAUAGCCGGGCUGAGAGGCUGGACGGCCACAAUGGAACUGAGACACGGUCCAUACUCCUACGGGAGGCAGCAGUAGGGAAUAUUCCGCAAUGGGCGAAAGCCUGACGGAGCGACGCCGCGUGAAUGAAGAAAUCUUUCGGGAUGUAAAGUUCAAUCGACCAGGGAAGAAUGGUUGGCAUGUUAAUAGUAUGUCAGCAGGGACGGUACCUGGAAUGAAGCCACGGCUAAUUACGUGCCAGCAGCCGCGGUAAUACGUAAGUGGCAAGCGUUAUCCGGAAUCACUGGGUGUAAAGGGUGUGUAGGCGGUAAUUUAAGUUUCGCGUUUAAGAUCAGGGCUCAACCCCGACAUGGCGCGAAAUACUGAAUUGCUUGAGUGACGAAGAGGAAGUUGGAACUCCAGGUGAAGCGGUGAAAUGUGUAGAUAUCUGGGGGAACACCAAUGGCGAAGGCAGGCUUCUGGUCGUCAACUGACGCUGAGACACGAAAGCGUGGGGAGCAAACAGGAUUAGAUACCCUGGUAGUCCACGCAGUAAACGAUGUUCACUAGGUGUGAGAGGUAUCGACCCCUUUCGUGCCGCAGUUAACGCAUUAAGUGAACCACCUGGGGAAUACGACCGCAAGGUUAAAACUCAAAGAAAUUGACGGGGGCCCGCACAAGCGGUGGAGUAUGUGGUUUAAUUCGAUGCAACCCGAAGAACCUUACCAGAACUUGACAUGUCAAUGCAAGGCUAUAGAAGUAUAGCGCCCUGUACAGCAAUGUAUAGCGUUGAGCACAGGUGGUGCAUGGCUGUCGUCAGCUCGUGUCGUGAGAUGUUGGGUUAAGUC
rnacentral:rRNA from 1 species